ACAGCUUAUUGACAAUUCACCAUUAAUUCCAUUGAAGGUUAUAAUACAACUUUUUAAUUAUAAAAUCAAUUUAGUAUAUAUCUGCACAAUAAUAGCUCAAAAACAUAGGAAACCCCUGACUUAGGGGCGAAAAGAAGUUCAAAAUACGAGAUGCCGCGCCACCCAUGCUGAUGAGAGCGGUUUUUAGAUGAAUUUUAGAUGAAUAUGUAAACAAGUGCUGUGCGCUUUCUUCUCAACAACAAAGUAAACACAACAAAUGACAGAAGUGAGAAAACAGCAGAAGAAAUGAACCGGAGAAUGAACCCAGAGCCACACCUACCUAUUAUGUCAUCGUCACAGACCAGUGGUAGUUCAUAUGUGUUUACUAGCUAGAGCAAACUGCUCCAGAAUGUUUUCUUUAGCAAGCUGUUUCGAACUUUCGAUGUCAAUUUUGCUUUAAUCAGGUCCUUAACAGAAGAAGAAUCCAGAACUGUCUCUCCUGUCUCUGUACUCUAUUAAUUGGUGUUGUUUGUUUUAGGGGCAGUUGUUGCCUAAUGGUUAGAGAGUUGGACUUGUAACCUGAAGGUCACAGGUUUGAGUCUCAGUACCAGCAGGGAUUGUAGGUGGGGGGAGUGAAUGAAUAGCGCUCUCUUCCACUUUCAAUA